CCUACGGGUGGCUGCAGUGGGGAAUAUUGGACAAUGGGGGGAACCCUGAUCCAGCCAUGCCGCGUGUGUGAAGAAGGCCCUCGGGUUGUAAAGCACUUUCAGUGAGGAAGAACGCCUGGUGGUUAAUACCCAUCAGGAAAGACAUCACUCACAGAAGAAGCACCGGCUAACUCCGUGCCAGCAGCCGCGGUAAUACGGAGGGUGCGAGCGUUAAUCGGAAUUACUGGGCGUAAAGCGCGCGUAGGUGGCUUGAUAAGCCGGUUGUGAAAGCCCCGGGCUCAACCUGGGAACGGCAUCCGGAACUGUCAAGCUAGAGUGCAGGAGAGGAAGGUAGAAUUCCCGGUGUAGCGGUGAAAUGCGUAGAGAGCGGGAGGAAUACCAGUGGCGAAGGCGGCCUUCUGGACUGACACUGACACUGAGGUGCGAAAGCGUGGGUAGCAAACAGGAUUAGAUACCCUAGUAGUC
rnacentral:rRNA from 1 species